CGAUAAAGCGGGUGAAAAGCCCGCUCGCCGGAAGACCAAGGGUUCCUGUCCAACGUUAAUCGGGGCAGGGUGAGUCGACCCCUAAGGCGAGGCCGAAAGGCGUAGUCGAUGGGAAACAGGUUAAUAUUCCUGUACUUGGUGUUACUGCGAAGGGGGGACGGAGAAGGCUAUGUUAGCCGGGCGACGGUUGUCCCGGUUUAAGCAUGUAGGCUGGUUAUCCAGGCAAAUCCGGAUAAUCAAGGCUGAGGUGUGAUGACGAGGCACUACGGUGCUGAAGUAACAAAUGCCCUGCUUCCAGGAAAAGCCUCUAAGCAUCAGGUAACAUCAAAUCGUACCCCAAACCGACACAGGUGGUCAGGUAGAGAAUACCAAGGCGCUUGAGAGAACUCGGGUGAAGGAACUAGGCAAAAUGGUGCCGUAACUUCGGGAGAAGGCACGCUGGUGUGUAGGUGAAGUCCCUGCGGAUGGAGCUGAGACCAGUCGAAGAUACCAGCUGGCUGCAACUGUUUAUUAAAAACACAGCAC
rnacentral:rRNA from 1 species